UUAUGAUGAGAAUUACAGCUGGCACCAGUCCUAGAAAGACUUGUACUCUUUUUGCUGCGGAUUAGCUUUGCAAAGGGCCUCGAGCCCGAAAUCUGAC
rnacentral:snoRNA from 1 species